ensembl:lncRNA SV2C-AS1 SV2C antisense RNA 1
AGGAAGUGCAGGCGCUGACAAAGAGCCUCAGCCCCGCGGGCUCCCCUGCUCUCCAGCCCUCUCUUGCUCUCUCUUAGACGCCAGACAGGCGCUUCGGGAAUGUAUGUGGGAGAGUUUGAAAAUUCAUGGUGUUUCUUUCAGGCUCUCUCAGCACUUACUGCGGCUACCUCUGCUCUCCCGCCACCUGCACGUCUGCAGAGGGAUCCCCGCCGAAAAGUUGAGCCUAAGGCAGCUAUGAAGGAGACCCCAACUCGAGCUUCACUGUUCCAAAGCGGUGGGCCAGGCGGCUGGAGAGAAACUCGCUCCCGUGAGGCCACACCCAGGCCUGGCGCACCCACCCCGCGGCAGCAGUGGAGGGCGUCGCCCUCCCGGGCCUUCCGACGCAGACCCUGCCAUCCGGAUGCUGCGGGAAGUAGGGCAUCCUCACGUCCCUGACUCCUCCGGCUCCGCGCGCUCACGGAACCCAAGUGGAGUGGGAAGCGGUCACACAGGCGUGUGCCGUCCCCGAAAUCGUUGCUCCUGUGGUGGUGACCCAAAGCGAGACAAAGCGCCGCGCCAAUACGGGCUGCAGUGAUUGGAACUCAAACACACACAUCUCUCCGCGAAUGUGUUCCAUCCGUGUAAAUAUGCCUGGGUGAUUGAAUGGAUGGCUGAAUGAACGCUGUGUGGAUAGAAAUAUAAAUGUUACAUG